rnacentral:rRNA from 1 species
UACGUAGGGGGCAAGCGUUAUCCGGAUUUACUGGGUGUAAAGGGAGCGUAGACGGCAGUGCAAGUCCGGAGUGAAAGCCCGGGGCUCAACCCUGGGACUGCUCUGGAAACUGUAAAGCUGGAGUGCGGGAGGGGCAGGCGGAAUUCCUGGUGUAGCGGUGAAAUGCGUAGACAUCAGGAGGAACACCGGCGGCGAAGGCGGCCUGCUGGACCGUAACUGACGUUGAGGCUCGAAAGCGUGGGGAGCAAACAGG